GACGAACGCUGGCGGCGUGCUUAACACAUGCAAGUCGAACGGAAAGGCCCUGCUUUUUUGUGGUGCUCGAGUGGCGAACGGGUGAGUAACACGUGAGUAACCUUCCUUUGACUGUGGGAUAACUUCAGGAAACUGGGUCUACUACCGGAUAGGAGCUCCUGCUGCAUGGGGGUGUUUGAAAAUUUUCGGCUGUUGGGGCUGGACUCGCGGCUUAUCAGUUUGUUGGUUGGGUAGUGGCUUACCACGCGUUUGAAGGGUAGCUGGCAUGUGAGGGUGACCGGCCACAUUGGGCCUGAGAUACGGCCCAGACUCCUACGGGAGGCAGCGGUGGGGAAUAUUGCCCAAUGGGCGGACGCCUGAUGCAGCAACGCUGCGAGCGGAAAGAAGGCCUUGGGGUUGUAAACCGCAUUCGCCUAUGACGAAGCGUGAGUGACGGUAAUGGGUAAAGAAGCACCGGCUAACUACGUG
rnacentral:rRNA from 1 species